rnacentral:lncRNA from 1 species
GCCUUCAAAGGAGCCUUGUACACAAUCUCUAGGUGAGGAAUGACUUUGUAAUCCGAGGCAUAAGAUCUCAAAUUAACAGCCCAUUAUUAUGGAAGUUCUUUAUUGAUCGCCAAAAUGGGUUAGGUAUACCUGUUAACAAGAACCUGAGACCUGCCGAACAGCAGGUGCCAAAGAUGCUGCUGUAACACCACAGCCCUCCCAUCUUCCAUCCUCCACUGGCGCUGAGUGGCAGUCCCAUGUGACAGGAAGUGGAGGCAGAGCUGGGCCAGCCCAGGAGCCACGUGCUGGAGCCAGAUACUCUGUUUUUCUACAAAUGGAAAGUUUGUGGCAUCCUUGACUCAAGCAAAUUUUUCAGCACCAUUUUUCAAGAGCGUGUGCUCACUUCACCUCUCUGUAUCGUGUUUUGAUGCUUGUCCUGGAAACCAACCAUGAGCUGUGAUGAAAUCCAGGCAACUGAGUUGUGUUUCAGCCCAAAGCAGCAAAUGGAAUCCAGCUUCAGGACCAUCAUCUGACAUAGGGGAAGAAGACUUACAUAGAAGGCCUAACCAGCA